rnacentral:rRNA from 1 species
GACGAACGCUGGCGGCGUGCUUAACACAUGCAAGUCGAACGAAGAGCGAUGGAAGCUUGCUUCUAUCAAUCUUAGUGGCGAACGGGUGAGUAACGCGUAAUCAACCUGCCCUUCAGAGGGGGACAACAGUUGGAAACGACUGCUAAUACCGCAUACGAUCCAAUCUCGGCAUCGAGGAAAGAUGAAAGGUGGCCUCUAUUUAUAAGCUAUCACUGAAGGAGGGGAUUGCGUCUGAUUAGCUAGUUGGAGGGGUAACGGCCCACCAAGGCGAUGAUCAGUAGCCGGUCUGAGAGGAUGAACGGCCACAUUGGGACUGAGACACGGCCCAGACUCCUACGGGAGGCAGCAGUGGGGAAUCUUCCGCAAUGGACGAAAGUCUGACGGAGCAACGCCGCGUGAGUGAUGACGGCCUUCGGGUUGUAAAGCUCUGUUAAUCGGGACGAAAGGCCUUCUUGCGAACAGUUAGAAGGAUUGACGGUACCGGAAUAGAAAGCCACGGCUAACUACGUG